AAUUAAUGAGCUUGUUAAGCAUUUGUUUUGAAAACAUAAGAAAGAAUUUAAUUUAAUUCUAUUAAUUU
rnacentral:tRNA from 1 species